GGAACUUUAGUAUAAGGGUAGUAUCUGGCAUUUGGGGCCAGUGGUGGUGGUUCGAAUCCAUCAAGUUCCG
rnacentral:tRNA from 1 species